GACAUGUAAUUGGCCUAGACGAGUGGCAUUUGGACUAGUGCAAUAAAGACACUAUAAUAUUGACGAGUGGCAUGUCGAUUUAGUGUAUUAAGACACAUAUAACAUCAUGACAUAAAUGAGUGGCAUCAAAUCUAGUGUAGUAGAACACUAUGGCAUUUGAACCUAGGGAUAGUAGAUUUUCCCGAUUGUCAUGUUGUAGACAUUAUGCAUUUGGCAUUAGUGCAUUUGAGGCAUUGAUUAUGCAUUUGGUAUUGUGCAGCAGAGGUACAUUGACCCUGGUAGAUAGGGUAUCCUCUUGUGAGGAUUGGAUCAUACUCACUAGUCUGUUUUUGUUUGUCGGUGGUCGCUCCACCGAGGCACGAGUCUCCGGAGUACUUCACUAGGGGCAGACGUAGUUGUCCCGCAGACGGUCUCGGUGUGCGAGUGCAGUUUCUCCUCACCUAUGAGAUUGAGGGUGAGUCGGGGUUGACCCCGGGGUGGCAACCUUCGGGUUGGCCAUGAGAUUGGAUACUACCGAGGCAUAGUUGCACGACGCACUGUGUAGCUCGUUCAUUUGGAUUAUUGAGGCAUAGUAGCAUGUGCAGAUACAUCACUAUGUAGUAGCUCAUUUCCAAGCAGAUUGGGUAAUAAACAUGAGAUGCAUAGUAGACUUGCAUUAUUACCUCGAGUAGACAUAGUGUAUGUUGUAGAUUGCAUUACUAUGUACUUUUAUAUACUCAUGACAUGAUUCUCGCAUGAUAGUAGUUGUUGCAUGCAUUAUCAUCAUUGAUGGCAUGAUAGAGUAGUUGCAGUUUAUCUCUUUAUAUAUCUAUCUACCUUUCUAUCUGUGCCAGCUUAGACCUAGUGGGAAAACCGGCGGCGUCGGCGGCCGAACCCACUGGGAACUAUAUUUAUAUAGUUCUCACCCCGUGUGGUUUUGGGGUACAGGUACACAUAGAGGCGAGCCGAGCGAGGACCGCGGCAAGGGCAUAGCGCCCUAAGUGAGCCUAGUUAGUAGCUUUUCCUUAUGCAUUAGAGUACCCUCGUGUACUAGUUGAUAUUUUGGAUAGAUAUCAGAGAGCUACUUGUAUUUUGAAGAAAACAUGUACUUACAUUUUGGAAGAUGAAAAUAUAAUAUAUUCAAAUAAUGUAAAUGUUGAAUGAUUGUGAUAGUUAGACUAUCUCUCUUUAUACACUUGUAUAUCACUUGUGGUUCUUGCUCUUAGAUGUAUUGCACUUGUGUGCAUCGUAUUUGAUCAUGUAUGUUCUUUAAGCAAAUUCCUGGGCGCUUAAUUGUACAUGAUCUGGUUGCUUGGCCUUGGGCGGACAGGAGAGGUACUGCCCGUUCGGCGGUCCGUCUGAUGUGCCCGAACCGUGCCAAAUUGGUAGUGGAUUCGGGGCGGGGCGUGACAGUAAACCUUAAGGUUAUAGGUACGUGAGUAGAACGUGAACCUAUAUCGGUUGAGGAAGAAUCCGAUUCGGUCGAUCUAGUAUAGAUCUCUAGUGUGACUAGAGAUGAAUCCGCGCGGUGUUAGUUCUGUACUCGAAGUGUUUGUGUUGGCGGCCGACAACAUGACGCUGUGAGUUAGAACCAAUACACUUGUGUACUCCCGCCGAUGGCGGAGUUGAGUCGCGUUAUCUAGUAAUUGCGACGAGAUUGUCAGGUUAAGAUGAUUAACCGAGUUGUUGCGUUGCAGGAACUAAAUGUCUCCAAGACGCUACACGCGUAGAUCCAUUCCGGCACCACCUCCUGAGGUGCCCGAGCAAGCCGGGUCUAGCGAGAUGCAGGAAUUACGAGCGCAAAUGACCGCACUAGCUGGUGUGGUACAACGCCAGGAGAGUCGGUUCGAGCAUCUCUAGGGGCUUUUGGAGCGGCAUAUGAUGGCAGCGGCUGCAACGGCGAUUGAAGGCCGUGACCCGCCCGCGCC
rnacentral:lncRNA from 1 species